rnacentral:rRNA from 1 species
CAAGGAAUUUUCCGCAAUGGGGGCAACCCUGACGGAGCAACGCCGCGUGACGGAUGACGCCUCUUGGGGUGUAAACGUCUUUUGCCGGGGGAGAGAACGGACGGUACCCGGCGAAUCAGGACCGGCUAACUACGUGCCAGCAGCCGCGGUAAUACGUAGGGUCCGAGCGUUGUCCGGAAUUACUGGGCGUAAAGCGCGCGCAGGCGGCCCGCGAGGUGUCACGUGAAAGCCCCGGGCUCAACCCGGGAGGGUCGUGGCAAACCGGCGGGCUUGAGGCCGGUAGAGGUGGGUGGAACUCCUGGUGGAGUGGUGGAAUGCGUAGAGAUCAGGAAGAACACCCGUGGCGAAGGCGGCCCACUGGGCCGGUGCUGACGCUGAGGCGCGAAGGCGUGGGGAGCGAAC